CGGUCCUGUGAAGCAGCCGUGAGGAGAGUGGAACGUCUUCGGUCUUCUGCAUUCGGACUUGGACCUAAGUUCAGAGUUCAGGAGGAUUGUCACCACAGACCUGAUGGAGUCUUUCUUUGGUGGGCUAGAUGCCUUGUUACCAAACCUUACAGAAUUGUACCAGUCAGGUGUCACAUCCAACAAGAGGUUAACCCUGAGAAGAAUUCUGCAGUGUCUUGGGAAAGAGGUAAGCACUGUAUAUACAUUACUCCUAUGAGUUUCUUCAGAGGGUCAUCAUGAAAAUCAAGCCAUACCAAUGCUCAGCAAGGAUUCAUGGGCUCAG